GGUUUACCUGUGUGACUGCGUACCUUUUGUAUAAUGGGUCAGCGACUUAUAUUCUGUAGCAAGGUUAACCGUAUAGGGGAGCCGGAGGGAAACCGAGUCUUAACCGGGCGUUAAGUUGCAGGGUAUAGACCCGAAACCCGGUGAUCUAGCCAUGGGCAGGUUGAAGGUUGGGUAACACUAACUGGAGGACCGAACCGACUAAUGUUGAAAAAUUAGCGGAUGACCUGUGGCUGGGGGUGAAAGGCCAAUCAAACCGGGAGAUAGCUGGUUCUCCCCGAAAGCUAUUUAGGUAGCGCCUCGUGAACUCAUCUCCGGGGGUAGAGCACUGUUUCGGCUAGGGGGCCAUCCCGGCUUACCAACCCGAUGCAAACUGCGAAUACCGGAGAAUGUUAUCACGGGAGACACACGGCGGGUGCUAACGUCCGUCGUGAAGAGGGAAACAACCCAGACCGCCAGCUAAGGUCCCAAAGUCAUGGUUAAGUGGGAAACGAUGUGGGAAGGCCCAGACAGCCAGGAUGUUGGCUUAGAAGCAGCCAUCAUUUAAAGAAAGCGUAAUAGCUCACUGGUCGAGUCGGCCUGCGCGGAAGAUGUAACGGGGCUAAACCAUGCACCGAAGCUGCGGCAGCGACACUCAGGUGUUGUUGGGUAGGGGAGCGUUCUGUAAGCCUGUGAAGGUGUGUCGUGAGGCAUGCUGGAGGUAUCAGAAGUGCGAAUGCUGACAUAAGUAACGAUAAAGCGGGUGAAAAGCCCGCUCGCCGGAAGACCAAGGGUUCCUGUCCAACGUUAAUCGGGGCAGGGUGAGUCGACCCCUAAGGCGAGGCCGAAAGGCGUAGUCGAUGGGAAACGGGUUAAUAUUCCCGUACUUGGUGUUACUGCGAAGGGGGGACGGAGAAGGCUAUGUUGGCCGGGCGACGGUUGUCCCGGUUUAAGCGGGUAGGUGUGUGUUCCAGGUAAAUCCGGUCCACUUUAACACUGAGGCGUGAUGACGAGGCACUACGGUGCUGAAGCAACAAAUGCCCUGCUUCCAGGAAAAGCCUCUAAGCAUCAGGUAACAUCAAAUCGUACCCCAAACCGACACAGGUGGUCAGGUAGAGAAUACCAAGGCGCUUGAGAGAACUCGGGUGAAGGAACUAGGCAAAAUGGUGCCGUAACUUCGGGAGAAGGCACGCUGACACGUAGGUGAAGUGAUUUACUCA
rnacentral:rRNA from 2 species